rnacentral:rRNA from 1 species
UACGAAGGGGGCUAGCGUUGUUCGGAUUUACUGGGCGUAAAGGGCGCGUAGGCGGCCAGCGCAAGUCAGUUGUGAAAUCUCCGGGCUUAACUCGGAACGGUCAACUGAUACUGCGCGGCUAGAGUGCAGAAGGGGCAACUGGAAUUCUCGGUGUAGCGGUGAAAUGCGUAGAUAUCGAGAGGAACACCUGCGGCGAAGGCGGGUUGCUGGGCUGACACUGACGCUGAUGCGCGAAAGCCAGGGGAGCGAACGGG